rnacentral:rRNA from 1 species
UACAGAGGUCUCAAGCGUUGUUCGGAUUCAUUGGGCGUAAAGGGUGCGUAGGUGGCGCCGUAAGUCGGGUGUGAAAUUUCGGAGCUUAACUCCGAAACUGCAUUCGAUACUGCGGUGCUUGAGGACUGGAGAGGAGACUGGAAUUCAUGGUGUAGCAGUGAAAUGCGUAGAGAUCAUGAGGAAGACCAGUGGCGAAGGCGGGGUCUCUGGACAGUUCCUGACGCUGAGGCACGAAGGUCCAGGGGAGCAAAACGGGG